rnacentral:lncRNA from 1 species
AAGUAUGUUAAAAAGCCAUUAUUUCAUGGUGAUACUUAAAAAACAAAAUGAACUCCUUUGGAAGAUGUGAGGAACAUAACCCACUCUGAAACCAAAUAACCAAGGGAAAGACACAAGAAUUUAUUCUGCCUUUUCUUUAUAUGCAGCUUCCUUUCUGUUAUGCUACAAUGGCUCACACCUGUAAUCUCAGCACUUUGGAAGGCUGAGGUGGGCAGAUCACCUGAGGCCAGGUGUUCAAGACCAGCCUGGUCA